UACGUAGGGACCAAGCGUUGUUCGGAUUUACUGGGCGUAAAGGGCGCGUAGGCGGCGUGGUAAGUCAGCUGUGAAAUCUCCGAGCUUAACUCGGAACGGUCAGCUGAUACUGCUGUGCUAGAGUACAGAAGGGGCAAUCGGAAUUCUUGGUGUAGCGGUGAAAUGCGUAGAUAUCAAGAGGAACACCUGAGGUGAAGACGGGUUGCUGGGCUGAUACUGACGCUGAGACGCGAAAGCGUGGGGAGCAAACAGG
rnacentral:rRNA from 1 species